rnacentral:rRNA from 1 species
UACGUAGGGGGCAAGCGUUGUCCGGAAUCAUUGGGCGUAAAGAGCGUGUAGGCGGCCAGAUAAGUCCGCUGUGAAAUCUCGAGGCUCAACUUCGAGCUGUCGGUGGAAACUGUCUGGCUAGAGUCCGGAAGAGGAGAAUGGAAUUCCUGGUGUAGCGGUGAAAUGCGCAGAUAUCAGGAAGAACACCCGUGGCGAAGGCGACUUUCUGGUCUGUAACUGACGCUGAGGCGCGAAAGCGUGGGGAGCAAACAGG